rnacentral:rRNA from 2 species
UGCAUCGAUGAAGAACGCAGCGAAAUGCGAUACGUAGUGUGAAUUGCAGAAUUCCGCGAAUCAUCGAGUCUUUGAACGCAAGUUGCGCCCGAGGCUUGUCCGAGGGCAUUUCCGCUAGAGCGUCACCGCGCCCCCCACCGAUCCGCUCCCGCCGCGAGGCGCCAGUCGGGUCGAGUGCAAGUGGCCGUCCCGGCGAAGUGGCCUUCUUUCACGAGGAGGCCGUCCUUGGAAGGGUCGGCUGAAAUGGAUGGAAUCGGGCCGCCGUGGUGACACAGUCCGCGAUCGGGUGAUUUUGUCGCGAGCCUCCUGCUCUGCGGGAGGCUCUUGGUGAAUUUUUCUAAGUGCUUGGCUGCGUCCCCCAGUUGGCUCGGGUUACCUCAUGCAGGUCGAGCGCGCCCCCGCGGCGCGCGUCACGCAUCAGACCUCUAAUCGGAAAAGACUACCCGCUGAGUUUAAGCAUAUCAAUAAGCG